UACGUAGAGAGCAAGCGUUGUCCGGAAUCAUUGGGCGGUAAAGGGUACGGCAGGCGGUCUAUUAAGUCAGAGGUGAAAUCCAACAGCUCAACUGUUGAACUGCCUUUGAUACUGGUAGACUUGAGGAUAAGAGAAGAAAACGGAAUUCCUAGUGUAGCGGUGAAAUGCGUAGAUAUUAGGAAGAAUACCGAUGGCGAAAGCAGUUUUCUAACUUAUUCCUGACGCUCAGGUACGAAAGCUAGGGUAGCAAACGGGGAUUAGAUACCCCCUGUAGU
rnacentral:rRNA from 1 species